rnacentral:tRNA from 1 species
CGGGGCGUAGCUCAGCUUGGAUUAGAGCGCGUGGUUUGGGUCCACGAGGUCGCAAGUUCGAAUCUUGUCGCCCCGA